rnacentral:tRNA from 1 species
GCGAAUAUAGAUCAAUGGUAGAUUAUCUGCCUUCCAAGCAGAGGAUAGGGGUUCGAUCCCCCUUAUUCGCA